AAAUAUUGAAGCUGGGAUCCAUGAAUCUGGCCAUUUACUUUCAUGUGUAGGUAACUAAGUGACCAAAAUAUUUGCAUAUUGGUUUAGGAGCUGCUUAUCAGAUGUGGCUUCCCAUUGUGGUUGACAGCGUGUGAGGGUGUCGUGUACUUCGCAGGACCAGGCCUUAAUAUUCCAAGUACUGCAUUUGUCCUACAAAACUGCAACGACCCAGACUGUGGGGCAGACUCAAAAGCUUACUAUGAUCUUCACGGGGAAGACAGAAGAUGAAUGCGCAUGCUCCACAGAAUCUCACUGGGUGACGCGUGGCCCUGACACCACUCAACGAGGCAGCAUUAGCACUACUGGCUGCUCAGUAUCCCUAAUGCCUUAAAAGCAGUUCUCUUCACAUAGACGGAA
rnacentral:lncRNA from 1 species